UUUGGCCUAAACUCAGUUAAAUCUCAGAUGCCUGUGCCAAGACAAUUCCAAUUUAGCAUCACCUUACAUUAUUUAAAGCUGUGAGUGAGGACAUAUUCAUAGGGGCCAUUGAAAAGAACUGGCUUGGAAUUUGUGUUUGCUUUUGUUUGUUCUCAAAGAGGGAGUUGGAGACCAAAAGACAUGGUAAAAGGGGGUGGGGGAACAAAGACAAUCCCCUGGUUUAUCUAUCCAGUGAAUAUCUUGAGCACUUCAUGCCUGAUAGAUACCACACUAGGGGCGAGACGUGAAGCAAUAAAUAAGACCCAAUCUCUGCUCUCGAGAGGCUCUUGGGGAUUCAAAUAUUUAUAACCGAAAUGAGAAAUCCUCAAAAUACAAAGUGCUAAGUGGUGUAUGUAGGGCACCUACACUUAGGGAGGAGGAUUCGCUUGAGCUGGAACUGAAAAAACAAGUGAAGUUUGCAUGGGGAGAAGAGCACUCUUGACAGAGGGAAGAGCUUGUGAGAAGAUGGGCAUAAAAAGGCAGGGAAUGUUCUAGAAGCACCAAGUGAUGGCAGGAGACAGAAUGGUAGGGGAGCAGGAGGAAUGUAAGUUGAGGCAGAUUCAAAAGAGUCUGAUACAUGAUAGUAAGGAUUUGAGAUUUAUUCUGUAAGCACAUGGAGUCAUCAGUGGUGCUUAACAAGGAAGAAAGUCAGCAAUACCUGGAGAGCAUGUGUCAGCAGACUCCCUCUCAGACAGACUUACCCGCUGCCAUCACGUUCCUUGUUUUGGAAAGAGGAGGCUAAUGCUGGAGUGGAGGAUGCUCUGCACGUGGAGAUCUCGGCAUGGCAGGAAGUGGGGAGGAGAUGACAUCAAUGUGUACUUCCGCUCGAUCCAGGAGCUGGAGAGAAGAGGCUCAGCUCUGGGUUCAAGACAUGCCUGCCAAAGCACCACAUCAUAUCACCUAACCGAAGGCCCCUCCUUCUGCUUGUUUGUUGAAAUAACAGAUGGCAUCCUGAUCUAUGCCCUACCUGGACAAUGGAUAUGGGUCAUGGUGAGAAGGUACCCUUGA
rnacentral:lncRNA from 12 species